rnacentral:rRNA from 1 species
GGUGCUAACGUCCGUAGUCAAGAGGAAAACAAUCCAGACCGCCAGCUAAGGCCCCAAAAUCAUAGUUAAGUGGGAAACGAUGUGGGAAGGCAUAGACAGCUAGGAGGUUGGCUUAGAAGCAGCCACCCUUUAAAGAAAGCGUAAUAGCUCACUAGUCGAGUCGGCCUGCGCGGAAGAUGUAACGGGGCUAAAACUAUGUGCCGAAGCUGCGGAUGUAUACUUUGUAUACGUGGUAGGGGAGCGUUCUGUAAGCCGAUGAAGGUGUGUUGAGAAGCAUGCUGGAGGUAUCAGAAGUGCGAAUGCUGACGUGAGUAACGACAAAACGGGUGAAAAACCCGUUCGCCGAAAGACCAAGGGUUCCAGUCCAACGUUAAUCGGGGCUGGGUGAGUCGACCCCUAAGGCGAGGCCGAAAGGCGUAGUCGAUGGGAAAAUGGUUAAUAUUCCAUUACUUCUGUGUAAUGCGAUGAGAGGACGGAGAAGGCUAAAUCAGCCUGGCGUUGGUUGUCCAGGUGAAAGGAUGUAGGCAUGUAUCUUAGGCAAAUCCGGGGUACUCUAUGCUGAGAUCUGAUAGCAAGCUGUACUUGUACAGCGAAGUGGUUGAUGCCAUGCUUCCAGGAAAAGUCUCUAAGCUUCAGUUACACAGGAAUCGUACCCGAAACCGACACAGGUGGUCAGGUCGAGUAGACCAAGGCGCUUGAGAGAACUCUGCUGAAGGAACUAGGCAAAAUGGUACCGUAACUUCGGGAGAAGGUACGCUGUUGUUGGUGAUGGAACUCGCUUCCUGAGCUGACGACAGCCGCAGAAACCAGGCCGCUGCAACUGUUUAUUAAAAACAUAGCACUCUGCAAACACGAAAGUGGACGUAUAGGGUGUGAUGCCUGCCCGGUGCUGGAAGGUUAAUUGAUGGGGUUAGCGUAAGCGAAGCUCUUGAUCGAAGCCCCAGUAAACGGCGGCCGUAACUAUAACGGUCCUAAGGUAGCGAAAUUCCUUGUCGGGUAAGUUCCGACCUGCACGAAUGGCAUAAUGAUGGCGGCGCUGUCUCCAGCAGAGGCUCAGUGAAAUCGAAAUCGCUGUGAAGAUGCAGUGUACCCGCGGCUAGACGGAAAGACCCCGUGAACCUUUACUGCAGCUUGACACUGAACUUUGACCUUACUUGUGUAGGAUAGGUGGGAGGCUUUGAAGCUGGAACGCUAGUUCCAGUGGAGCCGUCCUUGAAAUACCACCCUGGUAAUGUUGAGGUUCUAACUCUGUCCCGUGAUCCGGGACGAGGACCGUGUCUGGUGGGUAGUUUGACUGGGGCGGUCUCCUCCUAAAGAGUAACGGAGGAGUACGAAGGUGCGCUCAGCGUGGUCGGAAAUCACGCGUAGAGUAUAAAGGCAAAAGCGCGCUUAACUGCGAGACCCACAAGUCGAGCAGGUACGAAAGUAGGUCUUAGUGAUCCGGUGGUUCUGUAUGGAAGGGCCAUCGCUCAACGGAUAAAAGGUACUCUGGGGAUAACAGGCUGAUACCGCCCAAGAGUUCAUAUCGACGGCGGUGUUUGGCACCUCGAUGUCGGCUCAUCUCAUCCUGGGGCUGAAGCAGGUCCCAAGGGUAUGGCUGUUCGCCAUUUAAAGAGGUACGCGAGCUGGGUUUAGAACGUCGUGAGACAGUUCGGUCCCUAUCUACCGUGGGCGCUGGAAAUUUGAGAGGAUCUGCUCCUAGUACGAGAGGACCAGAGUGGACGAACCUCUGGUGUACCGGUUGUGACGCCAGUCGCAUCGCCGGGUAGCUAUGUUCGGAAGGGAUAACCGCUGAAAGCAUCUAAGCGGGAAGCCUACCUCAAGAUAAGAUUUCCCUAGGACUUUAUGUCCUCUAAAGAGCCGUUCGAGACUAGGACGUUGAUAGGUUGGAUGUGGAAGCAUAGUGAUAUGUGAAGCUGACCAAUACUAAUUG